rnacentral:rRNA from 1 species
UACGGAGGAUCCGAGCGUUAUCCGGAUUUAUUGGGUUUAAAGGGUGCGCAGGAGGGAGAUUAAGUCGGCGGUGAAAUUUUGCAGCUCAACUGUAAAAGUGCCUUCGAAACUGGUUUCCUUGAGUGUGGAUGAAGUAGGCGGAAUUUGUGGUGUAGCGGUGAAAUGCAUAGAUAUCACGAGGAACUCCGAUUGCGCAGGCAGCUUACUAAACCAUAACUGACGCUCAGGCACGAAGGCGUGGGGAUCAAACAGGAUUAGAUACCCGGGUAGUCCCU